GGCCGGAAUAGCUCAGUUGGUAGAGCAGAGGACUGAAAAUCCUCGUGUCACA
rnacentral:tRNA from 1 species